rnacentral:rRNA from 1 species
GACAGAGGAGCCAAGCGUUGUCCGGAUUGACUGGGCGUAAAGCGCACGCAGGCGGUCGCGCGCGUGGGGUGUGAAAUCUGGCCGCUUAACGGCCAGGCGCCAUCCCAUACGGCGCGACUGGAGUGAUGCAGAGGUCGAUGGAAUUGCCGGUGUAGUGGUGAAAUGCGUAGAUAUCUGGAGGAACACCGGUGGCGAAGGCGGCAUCCUGGACCGGCAUUGACGCUGAGGAGCGAAAGCCAGGGGAGCAAACGGG